rnacentral:lncRNA from 1 species
AAAAAAUUUAAAAACCCACGUGGCUACAUCUUCAGAACUCGGUUCCCGAACUCCGAGAAGCUUUGGAGAAGUUCAAACAUUGUAUAUAAUAAUACACACACACACACAUACAUAUAUGAGCCUUUAACACCUAAUUACUCAAGCAGGAUAAGCAAAUUUACAAAGCAUAUAUAUACUUAGUCACAUGAUACACUACUAAAACAGGUAUAAUUGACACGAGAAAAAACUCUCUGAUAUCUGAUUAGUUCUUUGCGUGAAAAGCUUAUAUAUCUUUUUCUUUUAUUUUUUUGCUUUUUCACUUUCCUUGGGAAAUUAGUGGUGGUGACCACCUGGUCCUUCGUCUGGAGGCGGCUUCGUAGGCCUUUUUGAGAGAGCUCGCUGAAUGGUGGGAACAUCUUCCUGCAAUAUGUAACAAAAUUAAUGCAUCAUGUAUACACAGAAAAAAGAAGAAGAAAAGAAGCAUAAAUAUAUAACUAGCCAUAAAUUAAACAAAGAAGAAGAAGAAGAAGAAGAAGAAGAAGAAGAAGAAGAAGAAGAAGAAUCUCUCUUACAGUAGGUUUGUGUCCGUUCUCUUCCUCCGGAGGAGGUGGAGUUGGUUCGUUGGGGUCAUCAAAACAAUCCCCCCAACCCAAGCAGCAAAAAGCUCUUAAAAUAUAUCGUAGGAAUGGAUGAGGAACGGCUUCAGUGAUGGAAGAGCAUUUCACCAUUCCCAUGGCCAUUUGGGAACUCUCUCUCUCUCUCUCUCUCUCUCUCUCUCUCCCUCCUCUCUCUCCUCUC